GAGCCUUAAGGUAGGCGGGACGUGGACCGGCACCGCGCGUGCGUAGAGCUGUCAGCCGCACCCAGGCCGCGCUUCUAGCAAAGUUGCAAAGCAACGGGCAGACCUGUCAGAACGGUGAAGAUCCCGGCGAUGGAAAAAAGGCGAAACUGCUCCGCGUAGGCUGCUCGGAGUGGCAUCGCACCUUGUUCGAGUCCGAAGAAGUUCCCGCUUCUCUAAGCCGGCUGAAGGGAUGCGAGUCUCCUCUUGUCCCAACGGGACUGUGUCCUGACACAGAGUGGACUCCGCCCCAAGAGUGCGAGCGUCCUGAGCGUUCAGGGCAUCCUGAGCCGCGGAAGGCAUCCGGCCACACCCCGCUCUUUACCCGCCAACGCCAGCCCAGGUAAAAAGAAAAAAACUUUACGUGCUUUAAGAUUCCUCUGGAGAGUCGCCAAUUAGAGAGUUACCAGUUCUGUGACCACCCCACCCCCGCCCCCCAGGAAGAGCGAAAUCUGUCACGUACUCAUCUUUCACAACCUUGCAUAGGAGGAGGAAACACCCACUCACGGCCGCCGGCCUUAAACGCUUGCAGAUUUGCGAUGGCAGGCAAAUCCUUCACUUUCUGGGAGCUGGCGCCGCGUCUCUGGUGCUUGCAGAAAGGAUCCAGUUUCUGUAAGGAUGCCCAGGCUUCGAUUGCACCUGGUUCUGAACACCAGCCCAGGAAUCCCACGUACCUGUUUGCGCCUCCUCCCCUGGCCGGUUACCAGUCAAGACCGCCAGGAACCUCUUAGAACAGUAGCCAAACCGGCUAGUCUUUUAUUCUGAAUCGGUCACUUUCCGUGGCUAGUAAAGUCCAACACUUUGGAUAAAUUGGCUUAGUGUAAAAAGGUAAACUAUUGUGUUUUGAUAAUGUCUCUUUUGCUGUGAUAUGUCCAGUGUGAUCAUUUAAAACAUACUGAAAAGUGUAUAGAAGAAUGUUGAAAUUCUACAUAAUCCCAACAAACUUAAAACAACUUGAAAAGCUUUAUGUAUGCUUUUAACCCUCUUUUUUUUUCAGUGCUCACUUGGUAAGACCACUUACUGAACAACUAGGUUGUUGAAGCUGUUUAACAUUUGUUGAAAAACAGCACAGAAAAUAGUAUGCCGAUUACAAAUGCAGUUCAGUACUUAAACAAACAUACUCUGGCAACAGUCUAGAUGAUAUAAUCUAGUACAAGCCUCCUUCAUCGCAGUCCGUAACAAAGAAAGCACACUCAUGCUAAAUAUAGACACUGCCUUAGCAUUAAGUAUUCUAAUUGUUCUUUCUGUCAUAAUAGUUAUCCAUCCAAUAGUCUGCAGUGCCCUGCUCCUUUCAUUCCACACUGUAUUUGAGUUUAUGCAUGCUGUUUCACGCAAUUGGGUCGUUUAAAAAUAUUCUUUUACUCUUAUGUUGUGUGGUCUCCAGUGUUUUGGAUAUACACAAAAUAUUGUAUUAAUAAUGGUAAUAAUGAGAUAUGGUUCAAGCCAUACAAUUCAUCCAUUUAAAGUAUGUGAUUUGGGUUUUUUUUUAUAUUCACUUUGUGGGACCAUAACUAUCAGGUCAUAGAUGCCCUCCAAAGAUAGCCCUUAUCCCUCAAGCCCCAAACAACCGACAAUCUUGCCUAUAGACUUGCCUGUUGGGAUCAUUCUCUAAAAGUCCAAUCGUGUAGUAAGCAAAUAAUGUGUGGCCAAUUUCCCUUAGUGAUACUGUACAUUUAUCUCCAGGUUUCGUGUUCUUACAAAUAGUGCUCACAUGGGUAAAUAUUAAUCUUACCUGUUGUCACAUGAAUACACCUCUCGAUAUAUAUGCCUGUAUGUUGAAUAGCUCAGACAUCUCCUGUGCUUACAGUUAGAGUUACAGUGCGAGCUUUUCAUGUGUACUGUUACACUAGCCUGGUCUGAUAAGAAUUCUCAGUAUUCCACCUUCCCCAACAUCCGGUGGUUGUAUAGUGUUAAUUUACAAAAACCUCUGUUAACUGAUGGCAGAAUCAUGCCAUUAUUAACCACUAAUAUAUCCUCUUUAGUAAAGGGCUCUUCAGCUGUGUCUAUUGAUUGCCAGUCACACUUGACUUCAAACUUAUAAAUUCUGACUGUGCUCCACCACCAAAUGCAUUUUUCUCCUCUGCAGUUUGUAUUUUAACUCUCUCACUGUUAGAUUAUUAUAAAUGUGUAGUUCCCCCCCCCCCCGGUAAAUUGAGUACCUUGGCUAAGCUAUAAAUAAUCAUUUCCUACCCACAAGGUCACAAGAAUGUUCACCUAUAGCAUCCUCUUAUGUGUGAGUGUUUGAUGUACUACCUACAAUUAAUUUGAGGGAAUCUCGUGUAAGAGUCUUUUUAAUUUGAUUACCCAAUUGACCUAAAUCUUCCUUUUAAAGUGGAAACUUCUUCUCUCACAAUUCUACGCUAUCACCUUGAUCACAAAUCAAAAGAAACAGAUUUCUAGAGGCUGGGAUUUGUAGAAAAGGAACAUGGAAUACCACACCAAGUAGCGUAAACAGUUUUGCUAAGGGUUGAUCUCAUAGGUGAAGGCAGAGAAUUUCAAGAGAAACACAGAUAAUCUGGAAAGAAUGGAAUGGAAAUGCUAGAACUGAGGAAAAUAACUGGAGCCAUCGGAGGUUAUCAAGAGAGUUGGUACACAGGGCAUACUUGACUAAACUUAGAAUUUUUCUGAAGUUAAUGUGUAUUGAAAAAAUGUUGUUGUUGUUGUUUUGGUGGUGGUGGUGGUGGUGGUGGUGGUGGUUGAAUAGCCAAGGUUUGGGUAGCUUAUAAAAUAGUAUGAGGCACCUAACACACAUGAUAUGACAUUCCCUGAAGGGCAGGAGAUGGUGUGAAGGAGCAGAAAGCUAUUUGAGAAGAUAAUAGCCAAUUUCUGGAUUUUCCUAAAUUCAUUUCAUCCCGAAUGAUAGCCUGUUUACAACCCAGACCCCAAGUUUGCCAUUAGAGGAGUUAACUGUUCUAAUAAAUAAGUUAAAAGUUUUAAGUCAA
rnacentral:lncRNA from 1 species